rnacentral:piRNA from 1 species
UGAGCAUCCAUCCACCU